AUGAAGUAUUCAUGUACUUGUUCUAGCCAGAAUUUGUGGAAAUUGAUUCUUGGGGUCAUUCUCAUGGGCAUGAACGCAGGCCGUCUUGGAUCUGCGGCACUGCCGACUUUUGGAAAUGAAUCGGAUUACCUGGCCUUACUGGACUUGAAGAGGAGAAUUACUGAAGACCCUCUCCGCAUCAUGCGCUCAUGGAAUAAUUCCAUAAAUUUCUGCAAUUGGGCAGGUGUUACAUGCAACGAUUCCAACAAAAGGGUCAUCAUUUUGAACCUGGAUGCUCAAAAUCUGGUAGGCUAUUUACCACCUUCUAUUGGGAACCUUACUUUUCUCACCGGAAUCAACUUGGGAAACAACAGCUUUCAUGCUUAUUGGGCCAAUUCUGUGGAACUAAGUUCAUUGGUAGAUUUAACUGUUAUAUGGCUUGGUAAGAACAAUCUUACAGGAAGAAUCCCAGAUUGGAUAGGAAACUUUUCAUCUAUGUAUGGACUCUCUCUUGGUGAAAACAAUUUGCAAGGAAGCAUACCGAAUGAGCUUGGGCGUCUAAAGGGCUUGGGACUACUCAUACUUGGGGUAAAUAAUCUGUCUGGUAUGGUCCCCUCUUCAAUCUAUAAUAUUUCAUCUAUAUACAGUUUUAGUGUUGCUGUGAACCAGCUGCAUGGAGAGCUUCCUCCAAAUGUGGGCAUAACUCUACCUAAUCUUGAAACAUUUGUCAGUGCACUCAACAGAUUCACAGGAACUAUUCCUGCAUCCUUGUCGAAUGCUUCUAGACUUCAGCUUCUUGACUUUGGUGAUAAUGGUUUCACUGGAAAGCUUCCACAAAACUUUGGAAGCUUGCAUAGCUUAGUUAAACUGAACUUUGACGUAAAUAGAAUGGGAAGUGGUAAAGCUGGUGACCUGAAUUUUCUCAGUUUCCUGGCUAAUUGUACUAGUCUUGUUUCCUUGGGACUUAGCCGUAAUCGCUUUGGAGGAGAAUUACCAGCAUCCAUAACUAACCUUUCUACCCAGCUAAAAGUCCUUACUCUGGGAAAGAAUUUGAUACAUGGCAGCAUCCCUAAGGGCAUCGGAAAUCUUGUAAACUUGACCGCUUUGGGAUUGGAAGCAAACUUAUUCAGUGGUUAUGUCCCUGAAGAAAUUGGGAAGCUUUGGAACCUAAGGGUACUGCAUUUGAAUCAUAAUAAUUUUUCUGGGCCAAUUCCAUCCUCCUUAGGUAAUUUGACUUCAUUGACAAGGUUCCACAUGCAGAACAAUAGAUUUGAGGGAAGUGUUCCACCAAAUCUUGGUAACUGCCGAAAUCUACUGAUACUUAACCUUUCUAGUAACAAUCUAACUGGAGCCAUACCUAGACAGGUAAUGGCCAUUAAAUCCCUUUCAAUUUCUUUGACCAUGUCUAACAACUCUUUGACUGGUUCACUACCAUCUGAAGUGGGUGGUUUGGUAAAUCUCGCAGAGCUAGACGUAUCAGGAAACCAGUUAUCAGGUGAAAUCCCCAAAACCCUUGGCAAUUGUAUUAGUUUGGAGUGCCUGCUUUUGGAAGGUAAUGAAUUCAGUGGAGGUAUUCCUCAGUCUAUGGAAAAGUUAAGAGGCUUGGAAGUGUUGGAUAUUUCACGCAAUAACUUAUCUGGUCAGCUUCCUGAAUUUGUAGGUCGGUUCAGAUCUCUAAAGCUUCUCAAUCUUUCUCAUAAUGAUUUCGAGGGGGAAUUGCCUAAAGAAGAGUUAUUUUUAAAUGCAAGUAUUGUCUCAGUUUUUGGAAAUAAUAAGCUCUGUGGUGGCAUCUCAGAAUUACUUCUACCUGCAUGUUCCAGCAACAAGCCUCAUUCAUCUCAAGGGGUACUUGCCCCAAAAGUGAUAAUCCCUCUAUUUUGUGUUAUUGCAUUCAUCAUUGCCCUUUCAUGCUUCAUUGCUGCACAUUUGAUGAGGAAAAAGUCAGGAGGUAGACUUCUAACAUCACCUUCUUAUAAGGAUUCUCAUUCAAGUAUCUCUUACUUGGAACUUGUUGAAUCGACCAAUGGGUUCUCUGAGCAGAAUCUGAUUGGUUCUGGAAGUUUCGGUUCAGUAUACACAGGAUUACUCAAUGGUGAGGGAAUGGCGGUUGCUGUUAAGGUAUUAAACCUUCAACAACAUGGAGCAUCCAAGAGUUUCAUUGAUGAAUGCAAAGCAUUAAGAAGUACAAGGCACCGAAAUCUUCUCAAGAUCAUAACUGCCUGCUUAAGCAUUGAUAAUCAGGGAAAUGACUUCAAAAGUCUAGUUUUCAAGUUCAUGGAAAAUGGAAGUCUAGACUCGUGGCUGCAUCCCAGAGAUGAUGAUAUCUCUCAAAGGAAGCGACUGAGCCUCACCCAAAAACUGAAUAUUGCCAUUGAUGUUGCUUCUGCAAUAGAAUACCUCCACCUGCAUUGCCAACCAUCCAUUGUUCAUUGUGAUAUAAAGCCAAGCAAUGUCCUUCUCGAUGAGGAUAUGGUAGCCCAUGUUGGUGACUUUGGGUUAGCAAGGUUCCUCUUGGAAGGAUCAAAUAAUUCCUCCAAAACUCAGACCAUGUCUGCAGGGUUAAGGGUUCUGUAGGCUACAUCCCUCCAGAGUAUGUCAUGGGAGGUCAAAUUUCCAUUCUGGGAGAUAUAUAUGGCUAUGGAAUACUGUUACUAGAAAUGUUCACAGGAAAAAGACCUACCGAUGACAUGUUUAAAGAUGAUCUAAGCAUUCACCAAUUUGCAGCCAUGGCUUUGCCUCAUCAUGUCAUGGACAUAGCUGACCCUUCAUUGCUCCUUGAGACAGAUGAUGAGGAUGAUGAUAAGGAUGAUGAUACCAGAUUUGCCAAUGACAUACAAGAAAGACCAAUAACCAGGUAUCAGGAUUGCCCACAAGUCAACACAAGAAGAUUGGAGGAAUGCUUGGUUUCAGUGAUACAGAUUGGACUUUUAUGCUCUGCAUUGCCACCAAGAGAGCGGAUGCUUAUGGAUAUCACUGCCAACAAAAUGAAGGCUAUUAGAGACUCUUAUCUCAAUUGA